rnacentral:rRNA from 1 species
UCGGGAAUUUUGGGCAAUGGGGGAAACCCUGACCCAGCAACGCCGCGUGAAGGAUGAAGUAUUUCGGUAUGUAAACUUCGAAAGAAUAGGAAGAAUAAAUGACGGUACUAUUUAUAAGGUCCGGCUAACUACGUGCCAGCAGCCGCGGUAAUACGUAGGGACCAAGCGUUGUUCGGAUUUACUGGGCGUAAAGGGCGCGUAGGCGGCAUGACAAGUCACUUGUGAAAUCUCUGGGCUUAACCCAGAACGGCCAAGUGAUACUGUCGCGCUAGAGUACAGAAGGGGCAAUCGGAAUUCUUGGUGUAGCGGUGAAAUGCGUAGAUAUCAAGAGGAACACCUGAGGUGAAGACGGGUUGCUGGGCUGAUACUGACGCUGAGGCGCGAAAGCUAGGGUAGCAAACGGGAUUAGAUACCCCAGUAGUCCCUGAGCGGGCUGGCAAGGCGCAU